UACGUAGGUGGCAAGCGUUAUCCGGAUUCACUGGGCGUAAAGAGCGCGUAGGUGGUCCUUCAAGUCAGAUGUUAAAUCUCCUGGCUUAACUGGGAGCUGUCAUCUGAUACUGCUGGACUUGAGGGCGGUAGAGGGAGGUGGAAUUCCCGGUGUAGUGGUGAAAUGCGUAGAUAUCGGGAGGAACACCAGUGGCGAAAGCGGCCUCCUAGGCCGUUCCUGACACUGAGGCGCGAAAGCGUGGGGAGCGAACACGAUCAGAUACCCUGGUAGUCCACGCCCUAAACUGUGGAAACUAGGUACAGGGAGUAUCGACCCUUCCUGCGCCGUAGCUAACGCGUUAAGUUUCCCGCCUGGGGACUACGGUCGCAAGACUAAA
rnacentral:rRNA from 1 species